AUCUGAUGUUAAAGGCGUUCAUUUAUUCCAUUAGCCAAAGAAAACCCAUUUAUUUGAAGUCGUCAAUUAGCAAAGGUCAACUCUCUCUCUCUCCCUCCCCCACCUACUUUUCUAUUGGCUUUCCAUAUGGUGGGACUUCAAUCCUUUUCUUGUGUUUGAUAAGUUUCGGAUAAACCGGUAUAUGGGGAAGGGUGUACCUUCAAAGUCAGAAAAAAAGAAUAAAUUACUGAAAAAUAUUCGGAGUCCAACAUACAAUUUGUGAACCUAAACAUUGUUUAAUUGGUUAAAAAGAAAAGAUAUUCAAAUUUUCGUCCAAUUGAGAUUUUAUUAUCUUCUUCCAAUUUUUUGUUGGAAAAUUCUCCCUUUCUCUCUCUCCCUCUCUCUCUCCCUCUCUCUCUCUCCCCCUUCCCUCGUAUUUGACCAGUGAUGAAGAUGAAAAACGAGAGAUUUGAUUCGAAAAAAGUCUCGACUUUCACAAGUCAAGAGAGAAAAUGAUGAAUUUUCCACCACUAACCUCCAAGGGUCUUUUCCCGUGAUUUAAACUCCCAUUGCUUCUUCGAUCUUCUGGCCGCCAUGGAAAAGCCUCCUUCCAGUUUCGUGAUAAGCUUUUCCAUUGUCGCCGUCCUCACCCUCGCCUCCUUCGCAUCAUGUAUGGCUGCUGAAUUCAACAGAACAAAAGUAAAAAAAGGACCUGAAGUUGAACGGCAGAUUCUGCUUCCUGCCUGAAAGUGAAGCAUUCAAAUUGGGAGUCGCAGGUAUAGUCUGUUUAAUAAUGGCUCAUAUCAUCGGAAACACCAUAAUCUGCCACACCUAUUGGCCAAAAGAGCACAGAAAGAGUUGCAGUGUCAAAAGGCCUCUGCUUUCAACCACCCUUCUCAUUUCUUGGGUCAGCUUCGGAAUUGCGGUGGCGAUGAUGAUGGGAGCAACCAGCAUGAGCAGGAGACAGGAGUAUGGGAAGGGGUGGGUGGAAGGAGAAUGCUAUUUGGUCAAAGACGGAGUAUUUGUUGGCGCGGCCCUCUUGGUUCUCAUUAAUGGAGGGUCCACCAUAGGUUCGGCUGCCAUUGGAAGGAGGCGGCGCGCUAAAGGGCCCAAUCAAGUACAUGCACAAAUUGGAUAACAAGACUGGUUAUACAUCAUCAAAAUAUUUCCCUUCUUUUUUCCUUUUUGCAUUUAUUGUAUGAUGAAUAAUGAAAAUGCCUCAUAUUCCCACUUAUAGUUCUUAAUUUAUUUUUCUUGUCCU